CAAAUGCGAUAGUUAGUGUGAACUGCAGAUAUUCUGAGCACUAAAACGUCGAAUGCACAUUGCGCCUUGGGACCUCCAUCCCUCGGCACGCCUGGUUCAGGGUCGUUUCUCACAACAAGGAGCAGUCCCGCUCCUAGCACGACUCGGCACUAGCAGCCAAGCCGCCUGGCAGCUAAGGGCCGAGCCUACGAUUGCUCGUGCUGUGCGUGAGCGCCUACCUGGGGCUACGCGGCCGGUCUUGUAGACCAUUAUCUGGCUGACCGUGUGAAAUAGCCUGCGGUGGUACUUGUCUCGCAUUUGCGACCUGAACUCAGACGUGAUGACCCGCUGAACUUAA
rnacentral:misc_RNA from 1 species